GCCGUGGACCUAAGCAAUGUGGUCUGCAAACCAGAGUCUGAGAAGUGUUGUAUUUUGCCGGGUAAGGUAAAAAGAACUGUACACCGGAGGGAGCUUAUAAGACAUCAACGACGGAAUGUUCAGGCAACAAAAGAAGACAGGACAAGACAAGACAAAAUGAAUCACAGGCUCCAGGCUCAGGGAGAGACCCUUCUUCGUGGGAAGAAGACAGAGGACAGAGGGAGAUACCUGGUGACGUCCCUUAACAGAGCUGCAAAAUAUGGACUGUAGACCACAGAGGAGCUGGAAGAGUUCUGAGAGGUGAAGCACUGAGGAGAAAGGGUUGUAGUAGAUUGUGUCCCCCACCCCUAGGGUGUUUGCAAUUUGAGGGAGACCUUGGCAGGCAGCCAUGCUCACUGCUAUACCACCAAUGUGGCAUCUUGGGGACACCUCAGGAAUAUCAUCUGGCUGCUUUUUUCAUCCAUUACCUGGAGAACAGAGAGGAGCUGUAGGGGUGCUGGCAAAAGAGAGGCAUGUCCAGCUUGAUGCCCACAUGGCUUCGUGUGCUGUGGGUCAUUUUUGACUAUGAUAGGGUUCUUAGUGGAAUUCUGGUGUGGGUGGGACCAUGAAGGGUUAACUUUUUGUAAAACUAUGGCACCUUUUCAGUCCACACUCUCUGGGUUUGAGGUCCUGUAUCCUUUGUCAGUUUGUUCUCUUAUCCUUAGGACUUCCUGGGGUCCUCCUAUUCACCCCUCCAAAAAUUACUGUCAGCAGUGUAAGAGAGGAGUGCUUCAGGAAAGAGCAAUCGGCCUGGAACAGGCUUGGGUGCCACAUUGCCAUCUGGGACCUGCUUCUUACAGGUGAUUGUUGAAUGUAUGGAAACUCCUUAGCCUCUUGUUUUAGUUUAAGAAUAAAAG